UUUUUUCCAUUUUUUAUUAGAUAUUUUCUUCAUUUACAUUUCAAAUACUAUCCUGAAAGUUCCCUAUACCCUCUCCCUCCCCCUGCCCUGCUCCAACUACCCACCUACUCCCACUUCUUGGCCCUGGCAUUCCCCUGUACUGGGGCACAUAAAGUUUGCAAGACCAAGGGGCCUCUCUUUGCAGUGAUGGCCAACUAGGCCAUCGUCUGAUACAUAUGCAGCUAGAGACAUGAGCUCUGGGGUACUGGUUAGUUCAUAUUGUUGCUAUGCUUACUAUGCUUUCAAUGUCAAUUUUCUUAGACAGUGUGGCCAGCUGCCUUGCUUUAAGCUAGAGAAGAAAACCCUAUAGAUAUUUCUGCUUCAGUGUUUGUAAGACUCACAGAAAAAUUUGUAUUCUGUAUGCCUUCUAAUAUUAAACAAAUUAAUUAAUGCUUGUAAAAAAUUGAUGAUCUUGUUAAAUGCAAUUAGAAAAUUAAUAUGGAUUUUGCUCUAGUGCAGUGUAUUGAAAAUGGAUUUUGACAUGGGCUGUCUGGAAAUCAUUUUAAAUUAUUACAACUGCAAAUAACAUACAGAACUUAGAAUUUAAGUUCUUAUAAGAUACUUUCCUUUUCUGUAGAAUUAUGUUCAUACACUGUCUGUGGCACUUUUCAAAAGGUGACAUGUGUAGGUAUUGGAUAUGCAAAUUAUUCCAAAGUAGCUUUGCAGGUCUCUGGGGGGUGGUAAUUUAGUCUAAUGGAAACUUAAUAACUCUUAUUAAGCACAUUACUAAUAUGAUGCUUUGCUUACAGUAAAUUAGAGCCAGUGAAAUUAUUAAUCACUUAUUAAAGAAAAAAGGAUGUCUUCUUGAGGUAAAUUUGAAUUUUCAACUAAGAAACAGCAGGUAGAAAGAAUCCUUGUUGCUUCCAAAUAAAUUGCAGUCAAGUUUUUUAAUCAUGAAGAAGUACUGAGUAAACAUAUUUAAUUCAAACCACACAGACCAGUGCCUUCCAUGGUGUCACACCAUGAUGUCACACAAUACUGGUGACACUAUAUGCCAGCUAUAUCACUGGAUUAUAUGGAACUAUAUUUAUACUCUCAUCCAUUUCCAGUUAUUAAUUUUAGGGAUUACAAUAACAUGUAACUAAUUCUAGUACACAGGAAUGAUUUCUUCAGUAUUUAAGUGUAAUUGCUCUAAAAUCAUCAUUGUCUUCAUCACUCAAAAUAAACCAUAUAAUCAUCCAUGAAAUAAUUUCAAAAUUUAUAUUCUUCAUAAAGCACUGCUUUAUGUAAACCCAAAAACAAGCUAUUAUUUUAAAAACUCUCCAUUUUAUUUCAUUUUGCAUUGGAAGCAUUAUUCAAGUUGAUAUAUACCAAUAUUUUCUUAACCAUAUUUAAUAUAUUUUUGUACCCAUUGGUUUUUUAUCAUCAUGCUAGUUUACAUAUAUUUCUGUCUGUUGUAUUGCCAAAUUCAUAAAGCAUGCUAUGCAUAUUGUGUAUUCACCAAUUGUUUGGGUCAUUCACUUGCUGUCAAUAAAGUGAAGUGCCUGCUAUGUAACAGGCCUGGCUCUAGAAGAUUGCACACAUCAGUGAACUAAACAAGGUAUGUAACCUUAUGGCUACUCUCUGGUUAAAGAACCGUACAACCAAACAAGCCAUUUUGCCUAUUAAAAUAAGUACUGGAAUGGGGAGGACAGAUGGGAGUUGACAGUGAUGUAGAGGAAGAACUGCUUUGUCUCGGGCUUCCAUUCAAGAAAGCCUGAUGAUGUCAUCGGUCACAUUACAAGUUCAGAUUAGGAAACAUGAGUGAAUAACCAUGGAGGUAUCAGGGUAAGAACAUUUUAAAUAUAGAAGACUUAAGGCCAGAAUAUGAUGAGUUUGCUCAAGAAACACAUAAGAUAAGCAGUCUUAUCAGAAAUGAGUGAUUUAGAUGGCAUGUAGUAGAAACUGUGGUCAGAGAACCUGUCAUUGAUAGCUGUAGGUCCUGAUAACUCAGUGCUUACGCAUAGAGUGUUAGUUUUUUUGUUUUUUGUUUUUUGUUUUUUGUUUUUUUUUUUUGUUUUUUGUUUUUUGUUUUUUGUUUUUUGUUUUUGUUUUUUUUUGAGACAGGGUUUCUCUGUGUAUCCCUGGCUUUCCUGGAAGUCACUCUGUAGACCAGGCUGGCCUCAAACUCAGAAAUUCGCCUGCCUCUGCCUCCCGAGUGCUGGGAUUAAAGGUGUGUGCCACCACGCCUGGCACAUAGAUCUUAUAAUAGUUUAAAUACUAGAAGAUUCUGUACUCAGGCAUGAUGUGUAUGGAACGUAAAACCAUGCCAGGAAGUUUGGUAAGGUAGAGCAGCAGGUCAAGACUCAGAAUUGGUGGGUACACACCUGAGGCUUAGGUGACUCCCAGCUCCCUACUAGACUCCUGACUUGGAACCUUUCUCUAUAUUAAAGUUUUACUGGUGAUAAAUCAAGAAAAAAUGGCAAAAUCAUAUUAUUUUGCAGACAGGUGGAUUAAUGGAUCUUGAAAUUAAUGACUAAUGGUCCCAAAUAAAAGGAGACACAAAAUAAUUAUAAUAAAAGUACAGUGCACUCAAGAUGGACUUUGCCUAAGAUGGAAAGGAAUGAGUCUGAGUUAGCUUCCAUUCCCAACCAGUCACAGAGAGCUGAGAUUUAUUCUAAUUGAUACAACUAGAGAGCAACCAACAAAGUGCAGACUCUGGGCAAACAUCUGAAGUUCUCCAACAAAUAAAUAACAAACAAUUAAAAGUCAAAACUAUCAGGCAGGUACAAGAGUUUGGGAGAGAGAAACAUCACUCAAUCUGCUUUGACUUCAUCUGGAUUCAGAGAAUUACAUUUUCAAAAAGAUAUUCUGGAAGCUAGAAUGAGGAUUCAGAGAUUAAGUACAUUUGCUCUUCUUGUACAGGGCCUCAGUUUGGUUUGUAGCAGUCACAGUGUGUCUUACAAGCACCUGCAACUCCCAUUCUGGAGGAUCCGAAGAUGUCUUCCAACCUCUAACCAGGCAUGCAUGUCAUGCACACACAUACCUACAGACAAACUAUUCAGUAAGUUUGUUUUGUAUUGUGUUGUUUUUUAAAGAUAUUUUGAAAUAGUUUUAAAUCUGAGAUCAGGCUAUGAAUCUCAUUGCAUUAGAUAGCUAUUGCUAGUUAAGUUUUGUUACAAUGAUAUCUUGGUGAUUUCUGCCUUUAGUUGUAGAGAUAGUUCCAGAGAUAUUUAAGUAGCAAGUGGUAUAGUAAGAAAAUCUUCUUGAAAAUAUUAAAUAUCAGUGGAGACAGGCUAUACAUGUGUUGAUCCUUGUUAAAGCCUACAAUGUCUUUAGAGAGGAUUCAGUACACAGUUCUGUUAACUUUUGUUUAAGAACACCAAUACCUAAAGUUACAUACAAGUCAUGUCUGAAUGUUUACUCCACUAGUAAAUUUAAUUCCUCUAUGGAUUUUAAGAUAAGGCAAAUGAUUCCUGGAUUACACAGUUGGAGCUUUGUCCCCAGCAGGACACACAGGGGAGAUUCAGUGUAUUUACAGUGGUUUCUCCUAACUGCAAACAAAAUCCUGUGUUGCAUGGAAGAUGGCCAGGUAAGUGAUUUGCUUCCUCAGUUUAGAAAACAGACCUACAGACUACCCCAGAGGAAGUCAUUUUAUUAUUGUGUUACAAAGUAAACAAGACAGAUCUUUGCUCCAGAGAGACAAAUUAUUUCUAUACUCUUGAAAAAAAGCAGUCUGGAGUAAAUGGAAAGAGAGAGGGAGAGAGGAAGAGAGAGAGAGAGAGAGAGAGAGAGAGAGAGAGAGAGAGAGAGAGAGAGAGAGAGAGAGAGAGAUGGUUUGAUGGGUAAUGGUAAGAACACUUGCUCUUCUUGAUUACCUGUGGCAUUCAUAUAGGGACUAACAACUUCACAUUAAUCCAAUUUCAGGCGAUCCAAUGCCUUAUUAUGCCUUUGCAAGUACUAUACAUGCGUGAGCUUCGCAGACCUAUAUGCAGAUCCAUAUCAAAGCAUGAAUGAAAGAAUAAAUAAAUAAAUAAAUAAAUAAAUAUGUUGCCCAUUUUUAGUACAACUUGACAUAUGUAGAACUUCAAAAGGGAGAAUGUCCCCACCAGACUGAUCUGUGCACAAGCCUGUGGUGCAUUUUCUCGAUUGAUGUAGGAGAACCCAACUCACUAUUGUGGAUGUCUCCACUAGGCCUGUGGUCCCAGAGUUUAUAAGAAAGUAGACUGAGCAAAACAGACAGUGCAGCCAGUGAGCUUUUAAUACCAGCUCCUGCCUCCAGGUUCCUGUCUUCACUUCUUUCCAUGGUGGAAGGAUAAUCAAAAUAAAUCUUUUAAUUUUUUUUCCUUUUCAGUCAUGAAGCCUUAUCACAGUAAUAGGAACUCCAAGAAAAUAAACAAGUGAUUUUUUUUUUUAAGAGAAAGUAUUCUUAAAGAGAGGCAGAACGUAAUCCUUUGGUGUUUUGGAAAACUGUCUGCUAACAGUCCACAUAUGUGUCUCAGGAAUUAGGGCUAUGCUUAAAUUCCCUAAGCUGAAGUGAAUUUAAACCUUAGAUAAAGUAAGAAUCAUGCUUUCUCUGACGUCUUAUAUCUCAGUGUGACUCACUUAUUUAUGUUCUCAAGAAACUUUUUUUUAAAUUUGUUUUUUAUCAAAAAUAUUUUUCAUCCUGUUUCCUUUCGGCCACCGUCCUGAGCAAAACCCGGAAACUUCGGGGCCACGUGACCAGUGGCCAUGGCCGCUUCAGUAAGCAUCACAAGCACCCUGGAGCCACGAGAAUUCCGGAGCCAAGCAUCACUACAAGAUCUACCCCAACAAAUAUCAACCCAGGGUAUUUUGGGAAAGUUGGUAUGAGGCAUUACCACUUGAGGAGAACCAGAGCUUCUGCCCAACUGUCAACCAGAUAAAUUAUGGACAUUGGUCAGCGAGCAGACACGUAUCAAAGCUGCAAAAGACAAGACUGGAGCUGCUCCCGUCAUUGAUGUUGUGACAUCGGGCUACUACAAAGCUUUGUGCAAGGAAAAACUCCCUAAACAACCUGUCAUCAUGAAGGCCAAAUUCUUCAGCUGAAGAGAUUAAUGGUGAUGGAGUUGCCUGGGUCCUACUGGCUUGAAGUCACCCAGGAGACACCCACGCAAACAAAACAUGAAAAUUAAAAGAAACUUAAAAUUUCGUACCCCAAUAAAAGAAGACAAAGGUAAAGAGGUAAAGGCAUGCCCUAGCAGUGUAUGAUAAAGCGUGAGCAGCAAUGGUGGAGGGGCCAGGACUGCCUACUCGAACAACUCCAGCUCCUGGAGCAGGCCUGACAGGACCAACCUUGCAGAUAAGGUUCCCAAUGUUCAAGUUUGCCAUGCCCUUUGUGAAGAAUCCAGACCAGAAAGGUUCAGCAUUGGCACCACACCAAUCUUAGUGGAUGCGUCAUCUAAACCAAACACUAUUGAAUGAUAACAGUACUAGUUGUACAGUUAGCAACUAAGUUACAGUAAUUAUAUAGCCCAUGUUACUAAACCAGAUGUUUCCUCAAGCUAACAACAAUUUGUGUUUCUGUGCUAUAAAUCUGAGAUACCAGGUAAAGCUAUAAUAAUUUUUUUAUUAAGGUAACAAAGGGUAUUGUGGUAUGAUCUAGCAUCCACACUGUGUCAUGUGUCUCCUAGGAUACUUACCUUGUAGUUCAAUGUAAGUGUAUAAUAGGAGGAGCACAUGACGUCAGCAUGUCAUCAUAUGCUGUAUUUAUGCACCAGAGGAAAUACCAGCUUCUCAUAAGUAUGAUUAUUUCAUGAAAAGCACACCCCACUGAGAUGUCUUAUUGCUGUUAUAAAAAAUCUUUAUUGCAGGGAAUUCUUUUGAGCUGUAGGAAAAUGAAUUCCACACUUUAGAAAUGUUGAACAGCAGCUUCAGUAGACUGCUAUGGUUCUCACAGAUUACUCUACCCCAUUAGAAUAUUCAUGAUCCAAUCAGAAUGCUUCCUAAGUCUCUGCAAUUUUUCCAUUGUAAAAUAAACUAGGUACGUUUUGAUGAAACAGCCUAUGCUGAGCAAAUGCCUUCAUUAAUUUUUUUAAAAGUAUUUUAUGGAUUCUGUUACUAUCAAAGAACAUUGCUCUGUGAAAGCGGACACCAUUCCACUAAAGCAAAAUUGGUUUUAUUGAAAAAAACAUUGUACUUGAAAAAAACAGGAUAAAACUAAAGCAUUAUCAGGCAAAGUGCAUUGACAAUGCAAAUCAAAUGCACACGCUAUAAUUAUAAUUGUGUAUUAGCUGAAGAACUGGAGAUUAUAAAUGGUGUGUCUCUGUUGAAGAGUUUGCCUGAGCACAUUACAUAUUCAUUGGAUUUUCAUUUUUAUUCACUAAAUGUCCAGUUCCCCCUCCUACACAUCAGACAUUAUGACUCCAUGCCUGAAAUGAACAUUCUGAGUUUAGAAGGACAUGUUUGUACAUAAAAAUUAAUGAAACUGACUAUAACUAUAACCAGGGCUGCCACUAAUCUGCAUGGUUUCAUCUGCUUAGCAAGGCUGUGUUGGUUUUGUGAAAUGCAAGAAUGUUCUGUAAAACUUGUCCAAAGAUAGCACCAAGAGAGUAUCAAAAGGAUCCUACAGACUCACUCUUAUUAAAAAUGAAGUGGGGAAAGGGGCUGGACAUC